rnacentral:rRNA from 1 species
UCGCGUGACCAUAGCGAGAGGGACACACCCGUUCCCAUCCCGAACACGGAAGUUAAGCCUCUCAGCGCCGGAUGUACUUGGUGGGUGACUGCCCGGGAGAUAUGGACGUCGCGCGGA